GCGCAGCAGUCGCGAAACUUUACAAUGUGCGAAAGCACGAUAAGGGAACUCUGAGUGCCUCCUAAGGAGGCUGUUCAGGUGUCUAAAAGCACCUGAAGGAAGGGCUGGGUAAGGCCGGUGCCAGCCGCCGCGGUAACACCGGCAGCCCAAGUGGUAGCCACGUUUAUUGGGUCUAAAGCGUCCGUAGCCGGCUGGGUAAGUUCCUUGGGAAAUUUGGCUGCUUAACAGUCAAGCUUUCAGGGAAUACUGCCCGGCUUGGGACCGGGAGAGGUCAGAGGUACUCCAGGGGUAGGGUGAAAUCCAUUAGUCCUUGGGGGACCACCGGUAGCGAAGGCGUCUGACCAGACCGGGUCCGACGGUGAGGGACGAAGGCUAGGGGCGCGAACCGGAUUAGAUACCCGCGUAGU
rnacentral:rRNA from 1 species